rnacentral:rRNA from 1 species
AUUGAACGCUGGCGGCAGGCCUAACACAUGCAAGUCGAGCGCGCCGGGGACGGGAGAGUAAUGUAUGGGGCCUGCGCGAUAGGGGGGUAUCACCACUGGAAAGGGUGGCUAAUAGCGCAUACUAUCGGAUAACCCAUAUGGGAUUAGCUAGUAGGUGGGGUAAAGGCACACCUAGGCGACGAUCUCUAGCUGGUCUGAGAGGAUGAUCAGCCACACUGGGACUGAGACACGGCCCAGACUCCUACGGAGGCAGCAGUGGGGAAUAUUGCACAAUGGGCGCAAGCCUGAUGCAGCCAUGCCGCGUGUAUGAAGAAGGCCUUAGGGUUGUAAAGUACUUUCAGCGGGGAGGCGUUACCCGCAGAAGAAGCACCGGCUAACUCCGUGCCAGCCGCCGCGGUAAUAC